GGGGGCGAAAGGCUUCGACCGGAUGGGUAGAGAAGCAGGUUGCAUGUCCAGGAUGUCGGUUGGCCUGGCUAAUCAUCCGACACAAAUUUAAUUGGCAACUACCAAUUAAGAAUGGCUGCUUAAUAAGCGGUCCGUCCUGUGGGAUUGCUCCCGCCAGUUUCGCAAGGGCGUCAAAAUGCGGGAUCGCUUUGAAUGGCCGUUUGUCCAGACGAAGUUAAAAACCAACAAACUGGCCGAGCUGAAAGCCUGUUGAUCGGCGUUCGGCAAGGCGACAUCUCAAAUUGAUUAACUAAACAUGUAGAUGCCUGUUUUGAAACAUUUCGGGACGCGGGUUCGAAUCCCGCCGCCUCCAAUU
rnacentral:tmRNA from 2 species